rnacentral:lncRNA from 1 species
GGAUAAUUCAGGUAAACCCAGCUGAGACCCGGCUAUUUAUAUAUAUAUAUAAAAGUAAAACCACGUCGUUUUACCUUAUACUGUCAAACUGACCGAUGAAGACAGAAAUGAAGAAACCUAAUCUCUUAAAUCUACAAUCCACACACUUUCAAUUCUCAUCUCCCAAUAGAAUUCACCUUCUCAUAACAACACAGAAGCAGCAGCAACAACCAGACCCGAAUUCCCAGCAGGUCAGAUUAAGAGAAUCUCGACAAAGACAUCAACAAAGUCAAUCCAGAUGCUCUUUUCAUCGUCUCCAGCUCCAUCGAGUUGUUUCUCCGAGAAUCAGCUGAAACUGCAAUCAAGAACAGCUGAAGCUAAAGACUGUGAAACUCCACCACGUUCGAGUCGCUGUUAAAAGGCACCACCCUUUUAGAAUCUCUUCCUCUGCCAAUUCAAUCACCAGAGAAGUCUACUGUACAUACUUUAAAAUAUCAAGUUUUAUAAAGUGAUUUUGUUAAUUUAUUUUAGAAUUCCAAUAAAAAAUAUUACGUUUCAAACUUCCAGUAGAAUAGAAGAAUCAAAACUUCUUGAAUUCAAAACAUAACUGUACAUGCUUUUAAAUAUCAAUUUAUUCGAUACAGUAAACAUCCUCAGUCCUUGCAUCUUUCUUCCUUCCUUUAUGGAAGACAUUCCUUGAUUUACAGAAUUGAUAUUGUUGGUUCCCAACUGUUGCGUUGGAAUUUUUUUUUUUAUCCAAGUCAAUUUAUUUAACUCGUGACCCAAUUAAUACUAGAUCGACGACCGAGUCGGAUUUAAAAACAACAGAUAAAAAGAAUUUAUAAGCGUUUUCCAUUAAUUUUAAUCUAUGCUUGCCUAGCCUUAUGUGCAGUGGUGAGUGAU